UACGUAGGCAGCGAGCGUUGUUCGGAGUUACUGGGCGGAAAGGGUGUGUAGGCGGUUCUUUAAGUUUGGUGUGAAAUCUCCCGGCUCAACCGGGAGGGUGCGCCGAAUACUGAGGGACUUCGAGUGCGGGAGAGGAAAGUGGAAUUCCUGGUGUAGCGGUGAAAUGCGUAGAUAUCAGGAGGAACACCGGUGGUGUAGACGGCUUUCUGGACCGUAACUGACGCUGAGACACGAAAGCGUGGGUAGCAAACAGG
rnacentral:rRNA from 1 species